CCCUUGUGUUUAGCAUUCCAGUAAUGGAACACUAGCCAUAAUAAACCGUUCCAAAAAUGCGUUCUAAUGGCUCUCAAGCAAGGUCCACUUGCAGUGAAAUAAACCAGAGGUUUGAAUCAUGGCUUGAUACGAAAUUAUUGGAAAGAAUAUGGCGAUGACAUCCACAAUGCCGGUAAGAAGACGAAAUUACAAGCAGGAUGAAAAAUUUGUUCAAUGAAACACAGCUAUUAAGUGGCUGACCUAAUAAGUGUUAUGUAUAAGUGACUCAUCCAUUGUAGCUUCUGGGACUCAACUUUAGGAUCAUCGUCAUAUGCAGCCUGGAGCUAGCCAUAUUUGAAGAGCUAGGAAGGAGGCACAGUGAUUGACAAUCUCCUUUCUCCUCAACUAGAAUGUCAUUUCCUUUUUUAAAACUAAUUUAAAUCCCAUCUACAUUCAAUUGCUUGUCUAAAAUAAAACCCAACUCCUCUCUUAAAGACUUUAAAAAUAUUAUAUAGCAGAGUUCAUCCUUUCUUUCUUCAGAGAAAGCAUCAUGAAAACAUGUUUUCAGGACAUUAAUAACUUGAUAUUCACAACCAACCUUUAAAUUUGGAAACAAGGAAUUCAUAACUACGUUGUAUAUAUAUGAAGAAAGUAAGCCUCAGAGAAUUUCAAGAGCCCGUCCAGGAUAGUCUGCUUCAGAGCCAUGGUUCUCAAAGUAUAUCAGAUCUCCAGAGUAGGUCUGCAGUGGGAGCCAAAAUUUUGCAUUUCUAACUUGGUCCCAGGUGAUACUUGUGCUGGCGCUGCUAGUCUACACUUAACUCUAUUCACUUUUUUUGUGUUUUCUUAGGAUAAAGAAAAUAUUUAGAAGAUGAGAUUCCUGUGUUUCUGGCUUUCAUAACUUUUUAGAUUUCCUUUCUACUGGAAAACUUUUAACUUUGAAAACCGCAAGUAAUAUUUUUCUUCCUGAAACCUCUGCAGUGGUAGCAAUGCACUGAAGUUUGAUUAAAAGUUUACUGGUCAUUCCUGCCAUGAGAAGAUGAUAGAGAAUAUCACCACAGUGUGACUUGCUUCCAAGGCAGCAUGGUUUCAUGCAGAGGAUCUAAACUGGGGACCAUGUGCUGGGCUGCAAAAGGGCUGUGCAGUGCCUAAAAUGUUAUGCAAAAUUUUAUAAAGGUAGGUCAUGUAUUGCUCCAUUGAUGCUGCCCUUAUUCAUGAUGAUUAAAGCCUUUGGGAGGUAUUCCUUCAGAAUAAUUUGGUGUUGUUUUCUUCAGUCAAGAGGUCCACAGAGCUGUCUUUCAUUCUGUAGGUUUAUCAGCAACUGAUGCUUAAAACCUAUUAGGCACUGCAAAAAAAGUUUGAAUAGAAUCUGCAAAAGCUUGGAAAUCUG
rnacentral:lncRNA from 1 species